rnacentral:rRNA from 1 species
ACUCCUACGGGAGGCAGCAGUAAGGAAUAUUGGUCAAUGGACGGAAGUCUGAACCAGCCAUGCCGCGUGGAGGAUGAAGGUCCUCUGGAUUGUAAACUGCUUUUGUACAGGAAGAAACACUGGUUCGUGAACCAGCUUGACGGUACUGUAAGAAUAAGGAUCGGCUAACUCCGUGCCAGCAGCCGCGGUAAU